UACGUAGGUGGCAAGCGUUGUCCGGAAUUAUUGGGCGUAAAGCGCGCGCAGGCGGUCCUUUAAGUCUGAUGUGAAAGCCCCCGGCUCAACCGGGGAGGGUCAUUGGAAACUGGGGGACUUGAGUGCAGAAGAGGAGAGUGGAAUUCCACGUGUAGCGGUGAAAUGCGUAGAGAUGUGGAGGAACACCAGUGGCGAAGGCGACUCUCUGGUCUGUAACUGACGCUGAGGUGCGAAAGCGUGGGUAGCGAACAGG
rnacentral:rRNA from 1 species